rnacentral:lncRNA from 1 species
CUUAGGUCUUUGAGAUUCUUGUUUAUUAAUUGUUAUCAUAAAAUCAGAUUUUUCUAUGCAGUGUUUUUCUCUUUGAGUCAUCUUGCCUCAGCAUUAAGCCAGACUCCAAAACUGAGGCAUUCAGACACUCCAGGGCCUGUUUGUGAAGAUGGUGUGAUGUUACUGCUCAGGCAGAACUGGAGACAGCAUAGACAGAGGGUAAGCAGAGAAGUGUUUAGACUUGUUCUCUGAAGCCAGGGUGCUACAAUGGAGGCCAGGCUCUGGGAUUCCCUAUUUUUGACUGUAAGCAGGUUCUGUACCUGUCUGCACCUUCAUUUCCUCACCUGUAAGAUGGGGAUGAUGGAAUUAGCAACCUCUUAGCAUGUUCUGAUCAUCAUCUGGAUGCCUGUAUUUCAGAAGACACCUUGGACCCAUUCAGUUAUAACUAGCUGUGUCAUUUUCAUGGUCACUUCCAGAGAUUCUCAAAACACCAACAAGAACUACAGAUUGUUGGGUUUAAAAAAAAAAGUCACUUAAAAGCCCAGCCUUGGUGGUGCAUGCCUGUAAUCCCAGCGGCUCGGGAGAUUGAGUCAGGAGGAUUGCAAGUUCAAAGCCAGCCUCAGCAAUGACGAGAUACUAAGCAGCUCAGUGAGACCCUGUCUCUAAAUACAAUACAAAAUAGGGCUGGGGAUGUGGCUUAGUGGUUGAGUGCCCUGAGUUCAAUCCCCAGUACCAAAAAAAAAAAAAGUCAUUUAAAAAGCUUUAAAGAAAUUUCAGUGCAACACCCACUACAACAUGCGAGAACAAAAAGACAUAAAAUAGCUUAGCUCCUGGGAAAUAUCUUAAUAAAGGACAUGGAGGGCUUUUCUAUCCCGAGCUCUGGGUUAUUAAGGGAAAAUGUAACAGCAUAAUAAC